rnacentral:rRNA from 1 species
GUGUAUUAGAUACCCGGGUAGUCCACGCCGUAAACGUUGGGCGCUAGGUGUGGGGUCCUUCCACGGAUUCCGUGCCGCAGCUAACGCAUUAAGCGCCCCGCCUGGGGAGUACGGCCGCAAGGCUAAAACUCAAAGGAAUUGACGGGGGCCCGCACAAGCGGCGGAGCAUGUUGCUUAAUUCGACGCAACGCGAAGAACCUUACCAAGGUUUGACAUACAGGGAAAAGCCGUAGAGAUAUGGUGUCCGUAAGG